rnacentral:rRNA from 1 species
UUGUUGCGGUUAAAAAGCUCGUAGUUGGAUUUCUGCCGAGGACGACCGGUCCGCCCUGUGGGUUGGCAUCUGGAUCGGCCUGGGCAUCUUCUUGGGGAACGUAGCUGCACUUGACUGUGUGGUGCGGUAUCCAGGACUUUUACCUUGAGGAAAUUAGAGUGUUUCAAGCAGGCGCACGCCUUGAAUACAUUAGCAUGGAAUAAUAAGAUAGGACCCCGGUUCUAUUUUGUUGGUUUCUAGAGCCGAGGUAAUGAUUAAUAGGGAUAGUUGGGGGCUUU